GGGGCUAUAGCUCAGCUGGGAGAGCGCCUGUUUUGCACGCAGGAGGUCGGCGGUUCGAUCCCGCUUAGCUCCACCA
rnacentral:tRNA from 1 species